CUUGUUUCCCUAAACCUAGCAGCCUUGCACAAUACGAAGGUCACCUGUGUGUCAUUUUUCCCCCUCGUAGGACAGGGAGGAGAUAAGGAGGCCAGGGCAGCACAGCACUGCUGGGUUGGUAAUCCCAGAGCAGCGUGCAGCUCUCGAGCUGUGACAGCAGGUCCCAGUCCUUUCACCAGCCUCAGGACAAGACAGCACGUGUGCCUGGAAUUACACGCUUUUCAAGGUGUUUUCAGGCAAGCUCCUGACUUUUAUCCCCCAUGUGCACAUCACCAGUGUGAUCCUGGCCAUGGAGUGGUUCCAGAUCUCUGACUUCCUACACUCUGUAUACACUAUCUCCUGGGAAACAUAUACUCCCCCUACAGCAGGUGAACCUAACACCAUGCUUAAGAGUUGUCCUGGGUGCACGCUUCCACAUAAAAUGCAUUAAUGGAUAAAAGGCUGUUUUUGUCAAAUGCGACAUAUUUGUAUUUGUAUGAUACUAAAAAAUAAACUCAGUUACAAAGGUGGCUUUUUUUUUUUU
ensembl:lncRNA